UACAGAGGUCUCGAGCGUUGUUCGGAUUCAUUGGGCGUAAAGGGUGCGUAGGUGGCGCUGUAAGUCGGGUGUGAAAUCCUGGGGGCUUAACCCCGGAACUGCAUUCGAUACUGCAGUGCUUGAGGACUGGAGAGGAGACUGGAAUUCAUGGUGUAGCAGUGAAAUGCGUAGAGAUCAUGAGGAAGACCAGUGGCGAAGGCGGGUCUCUGGACAGUUCCUGACACUGGAGGCACGAAGGCCAGGGGAGCAAACGGG
rnacentral:rRNA from 1 species